AAUUUUUGUGUUUUUAAUAGAGACGGGGUUUCCCUAUAUUGUUCAGGCUGGUCUUGAACUCCUGACCUCAAGUGAUCGGCCUGCCUUGACCCCAAAGUGCUGGGAUUACAGCGUGAGUUACUGCACCCGGCUGUAAAGAGGAUUUUAUUUUCGGUUUUUGCCGAUGACAAGUUUAGUCAUGAAGUAACCUGUGCUGAGCACAGGUUCUAAGUGGCUGGGCGGGGAUUGAGUCCAGAGUUGCUGGGAAAGUGGUAUCAGGAAUUAUCAGUCAGUUCUUUCUUUCAGUUGUUAGGGUGUUGUGGAUAGUUACAAUUGCAAAGAAUAGCCCCCAGAGCUUUAUGCUCGGAGCCUCAGUUUCCUCAUCUACAAAAUGAAAGUAGCGAUGUGUGCCUUACACUGGUCGCGGGAGUCUCGCGAGGAAACAUACCUCGCAUGUCUCAGAACACACUAAGCGUCCAUGCCUGGGAUGGGCCACGCUCACUGUCGUCACAGAGAAGCACAGGCAACUGAAGUUGGCCAGGGGGCUGCUCCCAUUGCAGUGGGGCUCGUGUGCCCCUGGAGUCCAGGUGUCCUCAGGCAGGUCGCCAGAGAAACUGUCAAACCAAGAGUUGUUUCGGCAACUGAGUAGUUUCCUCCCUGUCUCAGAGUCAGACAUCUGAAACGUCCCGGGAUUGAUGGUAAGGGCAGCCAAGAGGUCUGCUCUCAAUGUACCCUCUGGGCUGGAGAGCAGGUCUCCCUCCAGAGUUGGGGCCCUCCCUGGCCCAUCCUUGCCAGGGUGGGCUCCCUAACCCCAGGGGUGGCAGUGCUGAGCCUUUUUAGCUGUUGUCACUGAGCCAGCCAUGCAGGCCCGGGUCUGACGAGCUGCCCUGGACUCCACAUGCAAUCAGUGUCCAGGGCUUAAAGCUCAAAGUGUUCCGGGUGUAUGCUGUAGCCUUGCCCUUGUCACUGCGCAGAGGGGAGGUGGGGCCUGUGGAGGCUGGGGCAGCCCCCUCCCCACUCACCCUUGCACUGAGGGUGUUCGGGCAGCUGGUGUGUGUCCAUGUGUGGCCUCUCUCACCAUUUCUCUCUCUCUGCAGCUCUGCUGUACAAGCCUGUGGACUGUGUGACGAGGAGCACGCUGGUCCUCCAUGUGAGUCACAGCACCCCUCCUGACUGGGACCAAAACUGCCCCCUAGGGCACGCGCAGCACCAGGGCUCUGUAGGGCACACGAAGCACCAGUGUUCCGCGGCAUUUCUUUUGGUUGUCAUAGCUGCAUCCGAGGGGGUGCUGCUGACAUCUAAUGGGUAGAGGCCUGGGGUGGUGUUGGACAUUCUGUAGUGCAAGGGACAGCUCACUCUUGCCCCCCAACAAAGAAUUACUCCACGCAAAAUGUCAGCAGUGCUGAGGUUGAGAAACCCUACCCUAGAGCCUUACAGAGGAGCCCCUCCUGGCGUGUGCAUGCGGCUGGGUUUGCUGGAGCACAUCCAGAACCUGCUUCUGGGAUGUUGCUCACACAAGUGCGGCCCAGGUGAGAGAUGCCCGCACAGCCGGCCCAAGUGAGAGAGGCGGUGGUGACAUGAUGCAGUGGUGACACGAGGCAGUGGUGACACCGAGACAGUGCUGACACCGAGGCAGUGGCGACACGAGGCAGUGGCGACACCGAGGCAGUGGCGACACCGAGGCAGUGGCGACACCGAGGCAGUGGUGACACCGAGGCAGUGGUGACACACAGUGGUGACACUGAGGCAGUGGCGACACCGAGGCAGUGGUGACACCCAGUGGCGACACCGAGGCAGUGGCGACACCGAGGCAGUGGUGACACAAAGUGGUGACACCGAGGCAGUGGCGACACACAGUGGUGACACCGAGGCAGUGGCGACACGAGGCAGUGGCAACACCAAGGCAGUGGUGACAUGAGGCAGUGGCGACACCGAGGCAGUGGUGACACCGAGGCAGUGGCGACACCGAGGCAGUGGUGACACACAGUGGCGACACCGAGGCAGUGGUGACACCGAGGCAGUGGUGACACUGAGGCAGUGGUGACACACAGUGGCGACACCGAGGCAGUGGCGACACCAAGGCAGUGGCGACACCGAGGCAGUGGUGACAGCGAGGGAGCCAGCACUCUGGGCUCCGUCUGUACCUCAUGUCUGCACUUUGCACACAGUGGCAGGUACCAGGGCCCCUCUGUGUCUAAUUCAUCCGUCUUUCCAGGCAGGACUUGCUGAAGCACACUCCCACCAGCCACCCUGACCACCCCUUGCUGCAGGACGCCCUCCGCAUCUCACAGAACUUCCGAUCCAGCAUCAAUGAGGAGAUCACACCCCGACGGCAGUCCAUGACGGUGAAGAAGGGGGAGGUGAGUGUGAUGGGGGAUGGCAUGGGUUUGCCCAGCCUGCUGAGCUGGGGGCAGGCAGGGCACCCUCGAUCUGAGGCCUAGAGCCCCUCCUGGUCCUCAGCAGACCUUGCUUUUUGGGAUUGGUGAGCUUGGCAGCACACCCAGUCCUGUGUGGAAGGCGUCGGGGUGCAGAUGCAGGGGUGACUCCACACGCACCAUGCCCUUCAGGCGGCGUCCGUCACCGUGCCUCACUCAGCCACCUCUUUCCUUCUCUGUCAUGGUGGGUUAUGUCCAGGGAACCCUUUUUUAUCUCCCACACUCUUGCCAGCUCAGGGUCCCCAGCCUAGGAGACCUGUGGGAAGGAGGUGAGUAGGAGGGUGGCAUUUUGUCUGCCUGGAAUCCUCCUCCUUCCUCCUGAGUGCUUUCAUUAAAAAACAGUUAAGAUCGGAUUUAAGGAUUUGAGAGGGGGAAGAAAGGGGGGUUCACAGUUUGUGUCUGUGACGUGAGGCUUCACAUCUUCCUCCGGGAAGGCGCUCCUUCUUCCCCGCCGUCACUGACGUACUCAUCAAUGGGCAGACAUGGCCUGUGUCUGUGCCGCUCUGAGCCUCCCUGGGUGGGGCCUGGCACACAGCGAGGCAGGUGCCUUCCCAGGCGGGCAGCAGCUACUGAGAACAGCUGAGGCGUGCAAGCCGGGCAGCCGGUGUCCAGUGGGAACAGCUCUUGUCAGAGGCAGCACUGAGGUGAGGGAAGCUGACCCAUGGCCUAAGGGGCCUCAUGCAGGGACAGGAACUGUCUGGCCCAGGCAGGACACAGGCUGGGCAUGGACUGACUGUAGUUGCCUCUGAGAACCACCUCCUUCUCUUCUGGUUUAUGUGCUAGGUGAUUGGCAGUGUGCCAAGGACACAGGCCCUGUCCUCAGGGUAGCCCCAGGACGGACCUGCCCAGCACAUGGGUUUUUUUCCUUUUCCUGCCCUGAGCCGUCAGGCAGGCAGCUCUCAGCCCUGUCCACCACACACUUCUUUGGGAAUGGUACCCUGAGUGCCCAGUCUUGACCUUGAGUGAGGGGCUUGGUCAAGUUUCUCCUGGUGGGCCCGGCCCAAGGAGGGAGCUGUCCUCUCCAUUCCACUCUCCAGGCUUGUCCAAGCCCUGGAGAGCUGGGCAGACGCAGGGUCCAUGCCAGCAUCAUGAGGACCGACCCAUUGGGUGGCCUGGAGUUUCUCCUCCCUCGUCUUUGCAGCAGAAUGGGAACAUGGCCCCACCUCAUUGGACAUGAUUUAGCGGCAGUCCUGGCCAUCCGUGAUGGCUCCUUGGCAUUCUGAGCUCAUUGAAGGCAGAAGUGGGUCCCUGGCACCUUCCAGGGGAGGUGUUGAGCAGCGCAGGUGUUCCCCAGCUGAUCAGCCCAUGACUGGGGCCUGGGAGAGGCGGGGGAUCAGAUCUUGCUUCUUGAAGCAUCAAUGGGGCCCUGCCCCUGGUUCUCUUCCCUGGCUCAGGGCCACAGAAGGAGAGCAAGCCUGUGACAAACCUGUGGGCAGCUGCACAGAUCUAAGUGGAUGUUGGAUUUGCUUCACCUAAGCCUCCAUGUGCUGGGUGGCUUCCUGCCAGGCUUGCUCUUCCCUCCUGCUCUUUCCCUUUACUGACAUUCUUCUAUGAGCGCUCUGACCUCCUGGGAGGCGAGUGUGGGAUCCUUUUUCCCAUGGCUUCUCCUGUGCUGAGUCUGCGCCCUGCAUCUCCAGCUGCCAUUUAUCAUUGCUAGACAGAGGGAAGGACCUUCUCACCACUCAGAUUAUUGGAAUCCACUGCCUUGGGGAAUUGAG